rnacentral:lncRNA from 12 species
UGAAAUUCCUAUCUCCCAAGUCUUUUGGUAAUUAAAUGUUAAGUUUAUCAAACCUACAGAUAUAAAAAUUUUACAUCCGAAUAGUAUGAAAAACCUGACAAAAAUUAGGUGUUUGUUUCACUUUCCUUACUCCUUAUUCCUUUUCUAUUCAGGUCUUUCAGGCUAGUGAAACAAGAUUGGAAAGGACAUAACAGAAGCAAAGUACUCCUCCCAUUCCCAUACAAAAACAGUCUGCUUAGCAAGUCAUGGGCCACCAUUUCUGGGAGCACCACAGGAGAUCCGUGAAAGGAAGAUGGCUAAACCGAUUCUGAUCCCUCAGAAGUGGCUUAACUGAAAACAAGACCUCAGGGGCUCGGUUUCUGUUUUAAAGAGCCAAGUAGUCCUCUAAUUCAUGGGACCAUAGGAUCUUUAUGUCCCCUGUCUGAUUUUAGCUUUUAUCUGUUGGUCCUUUGCCAAUAGUCUUGUAUCUAAUUUUUGCAAGCACUGUAUGAGGAUGUCUUAGACACUUGUUUUGGCCCACCAAACAUCCAUUCCACUUUUUUUUUUUUUUUUUUUUGACAGUAGUGGCCUGACUUCCUUUUAGAAAAUUACUUUUUCCCCAUUUUAUAGUAUCCAGGUAGGCAAUAAAUUAAGACUCCUUAGCCA